CCUACGGGGGGCUGCAGUGAGGAAUAUUGGUCAAUGGGCGCAAGCCUGAACCAGCCAUCCCGCGUGCAGGAAGACGGCCCUAUGGGUUGUAAACUGCUUUUCCAGGGGGAGAAACUUGCGCACGUGUUGCGCAAUUGACGGUACCCUGGGAAUAAGCAUCGGCUAACUCCGUGCCAGCAGCCGCGGUAAUACGGAGGAUGCGAACGCUUUGCGGUUUCAGGGGGUUUAAAGGGACUAUAGGCGGAGUGGUGAAAUCCUGCAGCUUAACUGCAGAACUGCCAUUGAUACUGAUAGCCUUGAGUUUGGUUAAGGUAGGCGGAAUGUGUAAUGUAGCGGUGAAAUGCUUAGAUAUUACACAGAACACCAAUUGCGGAGGCAGCUUACUGAGCCGACACUGACGCUGAGGCACGAAAGCGUGGGGAUCGAACAGGAUUAGAUACCCUAGUAGUC
rnacentral:rRNA from 1 species